rnacentral:rRNA from 1 species
CCCGUCAGAUUGAACGCUGGCGGCAGGCCUAACACAUGCAAGUCGAGCGGUAGAGAGAAGCUUGCUUCUCUUGAGAGCGGCGGACGGGUGAGUAAUGCCUAGGAAUCUGCCUGGUAGUGGGGGAUAACGUUCGGAAACGGACGCUAAUACCGCAUACGUCCUACGGGAGAAAGCAGGGGACCUUCGGGCCUUGCGCUAUCAGAUGAGCCUAGGUCGGAUUAGCUAGUUGGUGGGGUAAUGGCUCACCAAGGCGACGAUCCGUAACUGGUCUGAGAGGAUGAUCAGUCACACUGGAACUGAGACACGGUCCAGACUCCUACGGGAGGCAGCAGUGGGGAAUAUUGGACAAUGGGCGAAAGCCUGAUCCAGCCAUGCCGCGUGUGUGAAGAAGGUCUUCGGAUUGUAAAGCACUUUAAGUGGGAGGAAGGGCCAGU